rnacentral:tRNA from 1 species
CUUUAUAUACUUAUGAAAUGUUAAGAGCCCAACUCAAAAUCCAGUGUCCGCAAGGACGUGCCGGUUCGACCCCGGCCGCCGGUA